rnacentral:rRNA from 1 species
ACGAACGCUGGCGGCGUGCUUAACACAUGCAAGUCGAGCGGUAAGGCCCUUUCGGGGGUACACGAGCGGCGAACGGGUGAGUAACACGUGGGUGACCUGCCCUCAGCUCUGGGAUAAGCCUGGGAAACCGGGUCUAAUACUGGAUAUGACUCCAUGACGCAUGUUGUGGGGUGGAAAGCCUUGUGCGGCUGAGGAUGGGCCCGCGGCCUAUCAGCUUGUUGGUGGGGUGANGGCCUACCAAGGCGACGACGGGUAGCCGGCCUGAGAGGGCGACCGGCCACACUGGGACUGAGACACGGCCCAGACUCCUACGGGAGGCAGCAGUGGGGAAUCUUGCGCAAUGGGCGAAAGCCUGACGCAGCGACGCCGCGUGAGGGAUGACGGCCUCGGUU